AACUUUAAAAUCGAUCGUACGAUUAUACCAGUCGGAACAAUGACAUGAUUUGAACAAACAUAUAAGGUAAGCAAUCGUAAUGUUUUCAGGUUUGACAAAAGUUCGUGGCGUUACUAUUUUUUAAUAUUUUCUAAUUGUUUCAGUUUUACACGAGCUGAAUUUGAAAAAAAAAGCAUCAUAUUAAUGAUAAUAAGAACAUGUCUACUCAGAAUGAUCGAUAGCUGUAGAUCUAUCAUUCAACCAGGAAGAAUUAUCCAGUAUCAUUGUACAGAAUGUAAAUACUGAAAUAACCAAUUUCAUAUCAGCAGUUGCUAACGGUCUAAAGAACCUAAAUCUAGUAUCAGAAACUUUUAAGUUUUGAAUCCUUUUCGCAUUCCGAACUACAGUAUACACAAUCAAUCAUCAGAAUGACAUAAGAUUUAAUUUUCUUGUUUCAUUUCCUUUGGAUUUAUUUGUAUAUUUUAUAUUGCUGUUCAUUUUACCUGUUCAUUUUCAUUUCUGAAAAUAAGAGCGUGCAAAUAAAUACGUUCGAAAAAGACCAUGUACAUUUCUGAAAAAAAAAAAUCAGAAUCAUGUACAUUACAAUCAAAGUUACAAGUAGACUAAGUAUAAAUACAAACAAUAUCUCAAGGCCAACAAGCUAAUAUAAUGAUAAGGAGAUGUCGUACAAUGUAUUAUUUCCAACAACAACAAAAAAACGGACAAUGAUGUAAACAACUACAGUUCAUCACGUACUUCAACAAUGAACAAAAAUAAAUUUACACUUUAUGAUUUCCGUCCGUCCGAAUCGUUUUUUUUUCUCUCUCUCUCUGGAUUUACCUUCAUCAAAACGCUCAGUCCUUAACAUUUGAAAGCCAGGGAUGGAGAUGGAAAAACGCGUCGGGGGAUUUAUGAUCAUAAGGGACCAAAAACGAAUAGCAAAUAUUCAAAGUAGGACAAUUUUGCCAGAUAAGAUUGUGAUACUAUUUUUAUUUUAGAUAAAAGUUGGUAAAUAUUUUUUUGUUUCUUGUAGAAUAUAUACAGUAGUUUAUUAAAGUACAAAAUGUCACGUAAUUAGCAGAGACAUACAUGUAAUAUGUAUUAUAUGUCUCUGUAAUAAGUAACAAGAAAUAAUAUUUCAUGUCAACAUUAUAAUUUGAAUUAAAAUGUGACAUUAAAACUGCUCAUGCUUUACGUUUUUACAUCGCGAUGACCGUGAGGGCAUUCCGAUGUAUUGCUAUCGCCUAGAUUUCCAUUACGUAACUUUCGUUUUGGGUUUGUAACCGAUCUAUAAACUUGAUAGAUACGCGAUAUUAACGAGUGCAAACUAACAUUCCAUAUCGUUUGUUAUAAAUACAUCUCGUCAAUGAAUACUGAUAAAAAUAUUUUUGUUUAGAACAUAAAUUAAUAAUAUGAAAAUGUUUUGUCGUUAGAUAUAUAUAUAUAAGUAAAAAAUCAUUGAUAAUAUCUAUGCACACGUACCGAAAAAUUGUGUUAAAGCAUGCGGAAGAAUAUCUCAAGAACGUUUUGAGACAAUCCCGGAAAGGACCGGUAACUCUGUUAUUGUUUUUGCGGGAAAAUAUGAAUGCCUACUCAUAUCCAAUCUUUUAGAAAAAUCGAAUUUUUACAGAAGAGUGUCCACCAUGCACUUGCACUGCACUAUUAUUAGAAUAGUAGAAUAGAAUGAUAUACAAAUGGAUGAAUAUUAUAUUUACAUAUAACUGUUAUAUUGAUAUAAUAUAUAACAACAAACCAGUAUAUACUGAUUUGUAUCAGUACAAUAUAAUAGUUAUUACGGUGAGGUUGAAUUUCAUGUCAUUUAUUCAUCAUCCACGCACGAACUUGUCUCAGAAAAAAAUAUAUCUUUGUACAUUGACCUCAGUUUCAGGUAUAGAGAUGUGAUUUUUUCUGUGUCAAGUGCUUUUGAUCAUCCACAAGAACUUGCGGUCAUCCGAUGUUCAGUACUUCAUUACUUUGAUUUUUAAUCAAUUUUAAAAUUAGUUAACUUUACCUUUCCUGUACCCCUUUGUUCAUGCUUCUUUUUCUCUUUCAAGUGCCUAACUGGAAACAAUUUUGAUAUUCACUGAUCAAUCAAACCUUUGUAUAUAUUAUAGUAAACAGACUGUUACUCCGCCUACCCAUUGAAUUCAGGUGUCACUCUUAAUUACAAUGUCAGAGCAAACAACCAAACAAAGUUUGCAAGCAAGGCAUUUAAACUCUUGUUUUGCAUGCUAUAUUAUUUCAACUGUAAUAAACUUCUAGUUCAUGCAGUUACUCUACGAAUAUAUUUGCCAAAAUCCCAAAUUAAUACAUACCUUAGAAAAUGUUAGACCAUCAUUGGAACAUUGGAAUCGAGUACCCAAAUGCUGCUUUUAAUAUUUUACAUUUUCCUUUUUUUUUUGAAAACGAAAGAACACGACACUGUGUAGAAUUUUCUGAACUAAUGUUUGUUUUCUUUUUGCGAUGACGUUGUACGUUUUCUCUUCGACCUAUAGAGUUUUAUUGCUCCUUUUGAUAUCGCUAAUUUCAUGUUCGGAGGAGAGUACCACACGAUAAAUCGAAGAAAGAUUAACAACACCACGAUGCAAAAAAACCUAAAUUUUGUCCUAAAAUUACUACAUGGAAAACUAACGAUAGAGCUUUACAAAACACAUCCAAAGUAUGGGUAAACGUAGUUGUUUUCAAAGGGUUAGCAAUUCCUGUUUGACUAUGACCAUUUGACGUGAUUCUCAAUGCAUAAGAGUGAAAAUAACAUGAAUUUACGAAUGUGUUGGGUUUAGUUCACCAGCCCACGUGUAAGACUAAAAAAUCACUUUAGUAAAGAAAUAAUUCAUGAGGUUUUUUUUUAUUUUCAAAAUAAAUUGAUGUACUUAUAUAUGUUAAUAUUUUUAAUUGUCAUGGAAAAUAACGUUUUCAUGAGAAUUUUCCGUUUUUGCUGAAGAUAUGCCUUAUUCAUAAGAUGCAUAACUAUAAGUUAUUCAUUUAGUUUUGUUUAUUAUGCCAUUUCAUGGGCCAAGAUAGAAUUCAAGGUGGCAAUAGGUAUCAUAUAUUUAAUGAACAACUACAGAUCUGUACAGUACUCGUUGAUUUUCGGUUAAAGUCAAUAUAGAUAAUUAGUCACAGAUGGUAAAGGGUGUUCAAAGAACAAUAACACUACUCGUUCUAUUUUACAUAAACGUACAAAGUACAAGUGAAGUGAUUGGUAUGUACUAUUUUCACAUGGAAUCCGUAGUACAGUAAGUAACUACUGGUUUAAAAUGACAUAACACCAAAAGAUGCAUUGAAGAUUACAAUAAGUCUUUUGUUUUGUUUUAUUUUUACUCUUUGAAAGUGUCAUAUAAAUAAACUCAUAUCUUGCCUAUUUUCCACUAAUAUCGUUAAAAUUUAAAGCUCAAUGUGUACUGAUUGUAAUAAAAUACUUAAUACCUGAAAUUCAGUUUCUGACAAGAAGACCAUACACUUUCAUCAAGACUCUUCCUGCUUUGUUUUUCUUUAUAUAAAAAGUAAUAUUGUGCUGUAUUCAUUAUUUUAAAAGAGGAAUAUUCAAAGUCAAAAGAUUGGAGAAAACCAUAUAUAUGUAUCAACACUUUGAGAGGGAGUUAUUCAAUAUUCAAUAAAAAUCUGUCACAAAGUACCAAAUAUGUCAAGACCAACAUCAAUAAUAUAUCAAAUGAAGUAGUUUUAGAUGUGUUGUUCAGUAAGUAUUUUUAUUCAAAUGAUAUGCCGAAAUAAAGUAAAUUUAGAAAAAAUGUUUCAUAUGCUAUAAAACUUAAUACUGAAACAGUUUUUUAAAUAUUGCAGUUGUGAUCAGUAGUUGUAGGAAUGAUAUAUGUUUUACCUGGAAGGUUACCGUAACAACUUUAACGUUAACCUGUAAAGUUGAUAAUUUACACCUGAGCAUUUAUAUUGGUGAUCCUAAUGGUAAAUUACAAGCUGACUGUUUACCACCAAGCCAGCCAAACAAUUGUGAACCGUACUAUAAAAAUAGCAGUGUAAUCCAAUAUAAAUCGACAAAUGAAACUGUAUUUCAAGUAAAUGGUUACAUAGAUUAUAGUGUUAACGGAAAUUGGACAUGUAGGCAUGGAACAAGAAAGGAAAUUGCUACGGUUGAAGUAUCUGUCUUGAGAAUAAAGGGCGAAAAUAAUGAAACUGCUAAAGAUAUUUUAUGCCAGAUUGAUUUUGAUUGUACCAAGUCAUCGCUACUGUGGAGUAUGAUAAGUUAUUUUUCUUUCGUGAUGAUCUGCGUGGUUCUUAUAUCAACAGGUGUACGGAUUUGUAGCUUCCGACGUGCGGAUGAUAUGGUGAAUAAACUUAUCAUAAGGGUCAUAAGAAACCAGACUAAACUGUCAGUUUGCAAGAGGAUAUUUUUUAUCAUAUUUACUGUGACUUUUUUCUCCCUCGUGGUGUUUUCGAACAUGCUGCACCAGAAAAGGUGUCCCUUACAAUUCGUGUUUGUCUGCCUUGGAGUGAUAUUUGGAAUUAUAAACAGUGUUCUUUUUCUGAACAAAGAUGAAAUUACAAACAACAUACCAAAUCAAGAUGAGGAAUUUCCAGAUUCACAGAGGCUCAGUCGGAAUAAUGAAGUAAAUGAAUCAGACUUGUGAUGAAGUUUCGAGUAAGCGCACGCCGCAUGCGGGUAUUUUUACUCCAUCAUAGAAGUGGUCAUCUUAGUUGUGAAGUAGAAGCUUAAUUGUCACGAUAUUUUAUGCCGGUCAUAUGGUUGAAGUACAAAAAGACAUUCGACGAGAUUGAUUGGUUAUUGUAAAUGUUUCAAGUGCGCAGUGUUGUCAUAUACAAGCUGAAGUAAAUUAAUGUUGUAUACUAACUAAAUCGAACAUUGACUCAGAAUAUUCAAUACUAAUAAACCGUAAAGUGCACAGAUUUGUCGUUGUUGCUUCAGUUUGUAUCAUUUCUAGUUUUUAUUUUUGAGCAUUUGCCCCUAAUUCGCCCAAGAUAAACGAAAAAUAUUACUUAUGCGAGAAAAAGUAUUCGAAAGAUCAGCUUGCUUAUGUGCAUACGUCUUAUUUGUCCAGUUGUAUUAUUAAAGCAAUAUUCAUUUAAAAUAGACAUGUACAAAUAAUGUAGGAUAUUAUAUUUCCGUUUGAACAUCACGUAUUUCUGUGUCUGUGAUAAUCGUUUUCGGGAACGCUGGAAAAUAAGUUAGCAAAGUCAUUUAUUAAACACCGUUUGACAGCAUGAAGGGUCUAAUAGAACAGCCAAUUCUAACUGUGAACAACAAAUUUAUUUAUUUUGUAAAAUAUAAAAAAUAUUUCAAUACUCCUAACAACAAAAUUAUCAUAUUUAAAUGUUUCUGUGUGCGAUUUUUUUAUUUAACGCCAUUUUUUCCCAGGUUAGAGUUGUCUUUUUGACAUUGUUUUAAAUCUUUUUUAUUAAUAUUGUAUUAAUAUUGUGUCAUAGAUCAAAUUUAUUCGUUCA